ACUCAAGGAUAGCGACCUGUCCACUUCACAAAUGAGUAGACAGAGGCUGGGCCCGGUGAGCGAGGACUCCCUGAGCUCUGGGCAAUGGCCUGGGGACUCCAGCAGCACCUAAUUCCCCGGAGUCCCACCCUGCCUGCCACUGCCAGUUCUGACAGCAAGUUCUGCCGGGCGAAGCCCAAAUAUGACCCAUUUCCUAUGAGGACCAGAAACAAAGCCGCACAUGACCUAAGAGUAAACAGUGACAGUUACCACUCUUGCUGACCAUGAAAUGGAACAUUUGUUACCCGGGGUUUAUGGUUCACGACGGAGCGGUCUUCGAGGCGUGGGGAUCGGCCGCGUCCCAUGCCUGCUCCGGGGUGG